rnacentral:rRNA from 1 species
AUCUGCCCCAAGGAGGGGGAUAACGGCUGGAAACGGCCGCUAAUACCCCAUAUGCCGAGAGGUGAAACGAAUAUUCGCCUUGGGAUGAGCUCGCGUCUGAUUAGCUAGUUGGUGGGGUAAGAGCCUACCAAGGCAUCGAUCAGUAGCUGGUCUGAGAGGAUGAUCAGCCACACUGGGACUGAGACACGGCCCAGACUCCUACGGGAGGCAGCAGUGGGGAAUUUUCCGCAAUGGGCGAAAGCCUGACGGAGCAACGCCGCGUGAGGGAUGAAGGCCUCUGGGCUGUAAACCUCUUUUCUCAAGGAAGAAGAACUGACGGUACUUGAGGAAUAAGCCACGGCUAAUUCCGUGCCAGCAGCCGCGGUAAUACGGGAGUGGCAAGCGUUAUCCGGAAUUAUUGGGCGUAAAGCGUCCGCAGGCGGCCUUGAAAGUCUGUUGUUAAAGCGUGGAGCUUAACUCCAUUUCAGCAAUGGAAACUACAAGGCUAGAGUGUGGUAGGGGCAGAGGGAAUUCCCGGUGUAGCGGUGAAAUGCGUAGAUAUCGGGAAGAACACCAGUGGCGAAGGCGCUCUGCUGGGCCAUAACUGACGCUCAUGGACGAAAGCCAGGGGAGCGAAAGGGAUUAGAUACCCCUGUAGUCCUGGCCGUAAACGAUGAACACUAGGUGUCGGGGGAAUCGACCCCCUCGGUGUCGUAGCCAACGCGUUAAGUGUUCCGCCUGGGGAGUACGCACGCAAGUGUGAAACUCAAAGGAAUUGACGGGGGCCCGCACAAGCGGUGGAGUAUGUGGUUUAAUUCGAUGCAACGCGAAGAACCUUACCAGGGUUUGACAUCCUGCGAACCCCUUGGAAACGAGGGGGUGCCUUCGGGAACGCAGAGACAGGUGGUGCAUGGCUGUCGUCAGCUCGUGUCGUGAGAUGUUGGGUUAAGUCCCGCAACGAGCGCAACCCACGUCUUUAGUUGCCAGCAUUCAGUUGGGCACUCUAGAGAGACCGCCGGUGAUAAACCGGAGGAAGGUGUGGAUGACGUCAAGUCAUCAUGCCCCUUACAUCCUGGGCUACACACGUACUACAAUGCUACGGACAAAGGGCAGCAAACUCGCGAGAGCUAGCAAAUCCCAUAAACCGUGGCUCAGUUCAGAUCGUAGGCUGCAACUCGCCUACGUGAAGGAGGAAUCGCUAGUAAUCGCAGGUCAGCAUACUGCGGUGAAUACGUUCCCGGGCCUUGUACACACCGCCCGUCACACCAUGGAAGUUGG